rnacentral:rRNA from 1 species
ACGGGUGAGUAAUAUAUCGGAACGUACCCUGGAGUGGGGGAUAACGUAGCGAAAGUUACGCUAAUACCGCAUACGGUCUAUGGAUGAAAGUGGGGGAUCGCAAGACCUCAUGCUCCUGGAGCGGCCGAUAUCUGAUUAGCUAGUUGGUAGGGUAAAAGCCUACCAAGGCAUCGAUCAGUAGCUGGUCUGAGAGGACGACCAGCCACACUGGAACUGAGACACGGUCCAGACUCCUACGGGAGGCAGCAGUGGGGAAUUUUGGACAAUGGGCGCAAGCCUGAUCCAGCAAUGCCGCGUGAGUGAAGAAGGCCUUCGGGUUGUAAAGCUCUUUUGUCAGGGAAGAAACGGGUUUUUCUAAUACAGAGACCUAAUGACGGUACCUGAAGAAUAAGCACCGGCUAACUACGUGCCAGCAGCCGCGGUAAUACGUAGGGUGCAAGCGUUAAUCGGAAUUACUGGGCGUAAAGCGUGCGCAGGCGGUUUUGUAAGACUGACGUGAAAUCCCCGGGCUCAACCUGGGAAUGGCGUUGGUGACUGCAAGGCUAGAGCUUGGCAGAGGGGGGUAGAAUUCCACGUGUAGCAGUG